rnacentral:rRNA from 1 species
AUUGAACGCUGGCGGCAGGCCUAACACAUGCAAGUCGAGCGGUAGAGAGGUGCUUGCAUCUCUUGAGAGCGGCGGACGGGUGAGUAAUGCCUAGGAAUCUGCCUAGUGGUGGGGGAUAACGUUCGGAAACGGACGCUAAUACCGCAUACGUCCUACGGGAGAAAGCGGGGGAGUCUUCGGACCUCGCGCCAUUAGAUGAGCCUAGGUCGGAUUAGCUAGUUGGUGAGGUAAUGGCUCAACCAAGGCGACGAUCCGUAACUGGUCUGAGAGGAUGAUCAGUCACACUGGAACUGAGACACGGUCCAGACUCCUACGGGAGGCAGCAGUGGGGGAAUAUUGGACAAUGGGCGAAAGCCUGAUCCAGCCAUGCCGCGUGUGUGAAGAAGGUCUUCGGAUUGUAAAGCACUUUAAGUUGGGAGGAAGGGUAGUAACCUAAUACGUUGCUACUUUGACGUUACCG